GGGGGCGAGAGAGCAAACACCCACCCACCCCGGCCCUGUUCAAUUUUAGUAACAGUCCCAGCUGGACUAACCACUAGAUUAAUCACUUUGCUCUCGAAGGACAACAUUCCUCCCAAAUGGAAUCAGUGAUAUCAGGGAGAGACGGGCUCGACUGUGUGUGUGCUCUGUAUGUACACCCCCUGAAGAAUAGGAUUGAUCAGCUCAACUUCCUUGCAGUCAAAUGAGAUAUAGAAGGCACUUUGCCGUGCCUUCCCCAGACCAAAAACAACAAACCUGUCUCUGAGUGCAUCUUGUAGAAGAACAGGAAAGUUCCUCUUUGCAACAAUACUGAAAUAAUCCAUGAAGCAAGUUCCUUGUGCCCCAUGUGAGCAAAGUAAUACCCUAAGGAUUUUCAGAACCAUCCCACCUAGCAUGCACUUCUGCCAGUUCUGCCACAUGGCAGAGUGAAGAGGCUCCCUUAGGGGGAGAAUUGGGGUUCCAUUAAAAGUUGGCAAAUGGUCAU